UUUUGUUCUCUUCCAUUGUGAUUUAUUUUUUUAUUCAUUCUCUCUUAAGUCAAUCAAUUUGAAACAAUAUGGAUUCACUAAUUUGCUCUAACAAAAUAUGCGGCUCUUAUGAUCGUGCUGGUAUCAAGAACAUUUGUGGAAAAUGUUUCAUGGAAAGUCACAAAGAAGAUUUUCAAAGACUCCUCAAAUGCGAAGAUAGAAAAUAUCCUAAAUCAGAAGAAAUUCAUGAAAAUCAUAUUUUGGAAAGCUUUAAAGAAAUCUCUCCAAAACCCUUUAAGCAUGAAGAUAAAAAAUGUUCUAAAUCAGAAGAAAUUGAAAGUCAAAUUUUGGAUAACUUCAAUGUAUGCGCUACUAUGGCUACUAUAACUCUCAACGAUUCUCCAGACAUGAAGAUGAAUAUUAAGUAGAUUAAAAAUCAAAAUAUAUUCUAUAGACUAUUAUCAUAGAUUGAGAUUCAUAAUGUGUUAAAUUUUAUAUUGUUCAAGAGUUGUUUCUCUUUUGGCUAAGAAUUGUUUUUGGUUAUACAACUUUUCUGAAUCUUUUUUAUCUCCA
rnacentral:lncRNA from 1 species